GAUGAACGCUGGCGGCGUGCCUAAUACAUGCAAGUCGAGCGAACGGACGAGAAGCUUGCUUUUCUGAUGUUAGCGGCGGACGGGUGAGUAACACGUGGAUAACCUACCUAUAAUACUGGGAUAACUUCGGGAAACCGGAGCUAAUACCGGAUAAUAUUUUGAACCGCAUGGUUCAAAAGUGAAAGACGGUCUUGCUGUCACUUAUAGAUGGAUCCGCGCUGCAUUAGCUAGUUGGUAAGUUAACGGCUUACCAAGGCAACGAUGCAUAGCCGACCUGAGAGGGUGAUCGGCCACACUGGAACUGAGACACGGUCCAGACUACUACGGGAGGCAGCAGUAGGGAAUCUUCCGCAAUGGGCGAAAGCCUGACGGAGCAACGCCGCGUGAGUGAUGAAGGUCUUCGGAUCGUAAAACUCUGUUAUUAGGGAAGAACAUAUGUGUAAGUAACUGUGCACAUCUUGACGGUAACUAAUCAGAAAGCAACGGCUAACUACGUG
rnacentral:rRNA from 1 species